rnacentral:lncRNA from 1 species
CACUCUUUACUGAUCCUGGAGGUGGUGGGUGAGGUCUACCCAUCAUUUCCAACUGACAGAAAAUCAUGAAGUGAUGAUGCUCCACUCAAGGAGAAGACAGAAGCAGUGGAAGCCCAGGAAUCAGGCAAAUAAAAAAGAAAAACAAAGACUACGUCUCAAGUAUGUGGAUGGUAUUGAGGAUGGUAUAUAAGGAACAGACUGACUGGAG